rnacentral:rRNA from 1 species
UUUUAACGGAGAGUUUGAUUCUGGCUCAGAACGAACGCUGGCGGCGUGGAUAAGACAUGCAAGUCGGACGAGAUUUCGUCCUGUAGCAAUACGGGAAGAAGUCUAGUGGCGAACGGGUGCUUAACACGUGGGCAAUCUGUCUUAAAGUGGGGGAUAGCUCGGCGAAAGCCGAAUUAAUACCGCAUGUGAUUAGAGUGGACAUCCAUUCAAAAUUAAAGUCGGGGCAACCUGACGCUUUUUGAGGAGCCCGCGGCCUAUCAGCUAGUUGGUGAGGUAACGGCUCACCAAGGCUUUGACGGGUAGCUGGUCUGAGAGGACGACCAGCCACACUGGGACUGAGACACGGCCCAGACACCUACGGGUGGCAGCAGUCGAGAAUUUUUCUCAAUGGGGGAAACCCUAAAGGAGCGACGCCGCGUGGAGGAUGAAGGUCUUCGGAUUGUAAACUCCUGUCAUUGGGGAACAAUGUCCCGCCAUUAACUGUGGCGGGAUUGAUAGUACCCGAAGAGGAAGAGACGGCUAACUCUGUGCCAGCAGCCGCGGUAAUACAGAGGUCUCAAGCGUUGUUCGGAUUCAUUGGGCGUAAAGGGUGCGUAGGCGGCGCGGUAAGUCGGGUGUGAAAUCUCGGAGCUUAACUCCGAAACUGCAUUCGAUACUGCCGUGCU